rnacentral:pre_miRNA from 1 species
CAACUACUCCCUCUGUCCCAAAUUUUUUGUCUUAGAUUUGUCUAGAUAUGGAUGUAUCUAAUACUAAAAUGUGACUUGAUACAUCCGUAUCUAGACAAAUCUAAGAGAAGAAUUUUGGGACGGAUGGAGUACUUU